rnacentral:ncRNA from 1 species
UGCCGACACUAGGGGUGCCCAAAUAUUACGGGCUGAGAUCAUACCCAUUGAACCUGAUCCGGGUAAUGCCGGCGAAGGGAGCGGUACGGGAAACACU